GAUCAUGGCUCAGGACGAACGCUGGCGGCGUGCCUAAUACAUGCAAGUAGAACGCUGAAGAGAGGAGCUUGCUCUUCUUGGAUGAGUUGCGAACGGGUGAGUAACGCGUAGGUAACCUGCCUGGUAGCGGGGGAUAACUAUUGGAAACGAUAGCUAAUACCGCAUAAUAGCAGUUAUUGCAUGAUAACUGUUUGAAAGGUGCAAAUGCAUCACUACCAGAUGG
rnacentral:rRNA from 1 species